ensembl:lncRNA
CAACGUCAUCACUGAGUACACGGUGAGUAACUCCAGGGAACAAGUGUGAGCGCUCAAUAUAAAGUGGCAUGCAUCUCAUGCCUCAUGGGAUUAUAAGACACUUGCGUUUUUUUGCGAACUAUGUGGAUGAUCGAUGUGCUCGUCACAAGUCGGUCGGAAUGAUUUCCUUCUGUUCACUCAAUAUCUAGAAUUCUUUCAACUCUCAAUAUUCAGUUCCAUCAUCCCUUCUUCAACCAGUUACCAUCCCAUGGCAUUUGUAACCACCAAUGCAAUCCUCUAAAGUCAAAAGUGAGCAGAAAGAAUAAAUCUCCACUUCAUUUGUUAUAACAGAGUUCAGUGAAGUUUGACCUCACCAGUGAGCCGCAGAAAGAGUUGGACACCACCCAGGAGCCGGAUUCAAACGGGUCGCUGACCGUCGUAAGCAACUUCUGAAUCUCCUUUGAAAGUCUUUUGAAAAAUGUUUGUUCAUCAGAGCUACAACCUGUGUGUAUGUGUACAGACUAAAGUCCUCUGAGGCAAAUUUGUAAUUGGCGAUUUUGGCCUCUACAAAAUAAAAUUAAUUGAAAUUUUAUUUAAUUGAAUAACGGAUAUAUAACAUUAAUUAAUGAAUUAAUGUUAAUUCAUUCAUUCAUUAAAGUAAGUAAAUAAAUAAAUAUUUUCCAUUGUGUGCUGGAUACCAUGACUCAUGUGCUUUCAGCCCGUGCUGCUAGUUCAAAUUCUUCUGUCUUUUGGUUUGAAGGAUCUUCUAAGGGGAGCCGCAGAGGGGCCGACUUUAUGGACCGUCACCACCCCGAACGGAGAGCAGGAGCUCCACAGGGAUGACGCCAGGUUAAAGGACUCCGGAGGCAAAGAGAUAGCAGAUUAUGAUCGUGAAGGCGCAUCAUCCCUGCAAAUGAAUCUGACAGUAGUCAACUCAACAUUCAAUUCUACAACUACACAGGAGACGGUUGCAGGUUUGCCGGAUACCGUGGCGGAGACCGUUGUCCUCAUUCAGGAUUCACUGAAGAAGACCUCUGGACAAAAGAAGAAGAACAGGGAACGUGGGAAGGGCAAAGGAAAUCAAGGACGGCAUAAGAGGCAGAGACAACGCCUGGCAAGUGAUGGGGACAAGCAAGAAGAAGAGGAAGAAGAGGAGUUUUAUAACAGCGAAGAAUACAGUUAUGAAUACGAGGAAGAACUUUCCCCAUCUGACUCUUCGGGUCACCAGGAGAAGAACAACAGCAAAAAGGUGCAUUUGCUUCAACUGGAUUGGGAAUAAUAAAUUUCACAGAUCACCAGGCAGAUGAAAUCCCCUUUCCAGUAGAUAAAAAGACGAUGGAUUAUUAAUCUGUAGCCCAGAUAAUAACAAAAUGUAAUUCACUUGCAAGACUGCACUCUGAUAAAAGGGAAGCGGAGGCAGCCGAGCUCAGCUGGGAGGAAUAAUGACAUAUUCACGCUGGUUUUAUUUUCUGUAGGAGGAACAAUUGCCCACACCCCGUCCUGCUCAGACAGAAACAUUGGUGGGAGCCUCCAGUCAUCCGCCAACAUCCUCUGCAGACAGACACAUAGAUGCAGAGGUGAAACUGCACAUUUCUGUGUUUCUUACGUAUUUUCUUUAAAAUAUGCCUGUUGUGAAAUUCUCCACACAUGCUAAUAUGUUUUGCGUGCUUUAGACCGGUCAGGCGAGGGAUACCUCUCCUAAAUAAAGACCAUAUCAUUUUUAUUCUCAAGCUGCAACCGCUUUAAAUGUUUAAAAAUGAUUGCUUAUGAUCCCUGAAAUAAGUAAGUGAGCUUUGAUUGUGUAUAGUAUCAAUGUUCUUUAGAUUUUUUUUGUCAACCUGUCGGUUGUCUCGACAACCACAACACCACUAUGGGUGAUAAAGAAAAGGCAGCUGGCCCGGUUGGUAUCACAUAUAGAAUUUCUAAUCAACAGAGUGCUUUGUUUUUCAAGGCGCUGUUGUCACUUUCACGCUCUAAAUCUAUCCUUAAUUGUCACGACCAGGAUGAAGUGUCACUUCCCACACCGCCCGUCACAACAGAAGAACCAGACGAGGUACAGCUUUGAUUUGAAAGGCUUGAAUAUUAACCGAAUGUGUCUGAAGAUUCUUGCAUGCCUCGGAAUGCAAAUCUAUUUCAUUAACACUAAACUUGAGACACCCGGAAAUGAUGGAGAAGUGCUUUGAAGAAAUGAAGGACGGGCUUCACUUUCUCCCUGUCUUAAUAUAAAGAAUAAGCUUAAACGAACCAUGCUUUAGGUCAAAUGCAAUGGCAUCAUAUUUCAUAUUUCAACACUAGUUUCUUCUCUUUCCUCUGAAAAUUUCACCAGUGCAAAAAAACGUUUGACUAAGGCUAAUUUGAAUACAGCAGGAAUGGAAAUAUAAUAUCGCAGGCAUUGCCGAAGCAUGAGACAAGAGAGCAUUUCUGAGCGGCAUGCUUUUAGCAUGAUUUCUUUACCUUGCCUGAGUGGGAAUGAGCAGAAAUAGUGUCCGUGUCCAACUAUUCAAGAAUGAUCUACUGGCAAAGACACAACUCCAGAGAGUUAUACUUGUAAUACUUUCUCUGUCUAAUUUUAACAGGAUGUCUCUUAAGUCCCAAGACAUUGUGACGAUAGGGUGAUAAGCAUUCAUAAGAAAGGCCACACUGCACCGAACGUGUGAAUAAACUGAAGUGUUUUGCUGGUGAGGAGCCCUCAACCUGACCAACACGAGGAAGGACUUCUUUCCACACAGAGACCAUGUCACCCAAUCAAACAUAUUGCCAUUGCGAAGUUCAUAUCUUUAUUUUGAGCAGAGAUGUGUAGAAAAUCAGGCACUGUUGAAUGUUCCAUAUAUUUUGUUUUCUUCAUUUUGUGCAAUGUAAACCUCAGUGUAGCCUACAUCUUGUCUACAACUCAAUUUAUUUAUUCAGACAAAUAUUUCUCUGUAAUGAAUCGGGUUAAACACAAAGGUUAUGCCACCAAAUUCAAUAUAUCUCCUUUUGACAAGUUGUACGGGAAUUUUAUUUAUUGAAACUUGGAAUAUGUUGUGUGUUUACUUCACUUUUGAACGCCAACAAUGUGUAGUGGCACUAUAAUCUUAUCUGUAUCCAGGUCAUACACUCUUUUCACUGGUGAAAUUUUCUCUGUGUUUAACUUUGCUGUGCAUGAAUCUUCAGUAAAAGAAUAUUUGAAUAACUUCCCGAGGCAAUUUGUGUCUUCUUUUUUUGAACCAUAAGAAUACACAUCACCACAGAUGGUUGAAAGGAUGAUUUUGCUUGGUUUUCUCUUCGCUUUGGGGGGCUUUGACAGGUACCUCGAUUCCGAAUCAGGGUGAAGAAAAGUGUACCGUGGCCCAAAAACAUGGUAAGCGUGUCUUGUU